rnacentral:rRNA from 1 species
AGAGUUUGAUCCUGGCUCAGAACGAACGCUGGCGGCGCGCCUAAUACAUGCAAGUCGAGCGAGAAGGUGUAGCAAUACACUUGUAAAGCGGCGAACGGGUGAGGAAUGCAUGGGUAACCUACCCUCGAGUGGGGAAUAACUAGCCGAAAGGUUAGCUAAUACCGCAUACGUUUCCGGAACUUCGGUUUCGGAAAGAAAGCAAUACCGUGGGUAUUGCGCUCCUGGAUGGGCUCAUGUCCUAUCAGCUUGUUGGUGAGGUAACGGCUCACCCAAGGCUUCGACGGGUAGCUGGUCUGAGAGGACGAUCAGCCACACUGGCACUGCGACACGGGCCAGACUCCUACGGGAGGCAGCAGUAAGGAAUAUUGCGCAAUGGACGAAAGUCUGACGCAGCGACGCCGCGUGGGGGAUGAAGGUCUUCGGAUUGUAAACCCCUUUCGGGAGGGAAGAUGGAGUGGGUAACCACUUGGACGGUACCUCCAGAAGCAGCCACGGCUAACUUCGUG